UUGUUUUAUCUCUAAAUUCGAAAACUGACUAAUUAAAUAGUGCACAGCACACAGCAAGUAGUAUAAGUAAACCAGCUUCCAAGCCACAAGAGCAAUGCUGUGCAUUCAAAGUAAAUAUGAAUAAAGGAGCUUUGUUUGGAUGGUGGUUUAUAAUUCUUAUCCCACCAAAAAUUACAUCUCUACACCUAAAUGUAUGUCAUUUGGGUAACACUUUAUUUUAAGGACCAAUUCUCACUAUUAACUAGCAGCUUAUUAGCAUGCAUAUUACUAGCAUAUUGGCUUUAUAUUGGUACUUUGUCACAUAUUAAUGCGUUAAUCUACAUGACCAUAUUUUAGAUACCUUUAUCCACCCAAUACCUAAACUUAAAAAAAUAACUUACUAACUAUAAAUAGGCAGCAAAUUAAGAGUUUAUUGAGGGAAAACUCCUAUUUAAUAGUGAAUAUGUGUUCCCGUCAUUUGUGCUUUAGAUGAUUUUUUACAUGAUGUUUUUAAAGGUAUACGGAAAAUAUACCAGUAAUCAAUAUUAGACGUUUAUAGACAGUUGAUAAACUGCUGUAGAACAAAGUAUCUUUACAAAGAACAGGCUUCAUUAAAAGCCUCACUGAAACUUAAAGUCUUAGCAGUCCCUGAUCUGUCAAAAUGCCCUUUAAUUGGUGUGAGAAUACAAGUGGCCACAGUUGUUUUAUUUCUGACUGCAGUUGUCAGUGUACACUGGGCAUGCUAACAUGACCUCCAGCGGAUUACAUUAAAUGUAAUUAAACUUAUUUUUCUCUGACCCUCUUUGGCUGGUUUAAUAAUGCUGGUAUGGUAAGCUAAAAUCAAUAAAACGGAAUAAUUAAAGGACAAGUGGUUGAAAGUGUACAACUUAAAGAUGAUUUUAAGGAUGUUCACCUGGAGUGUUUUUACAUAUAGUUCCAUAUUGCUUUAUGUCAUUGCAGUAGCAUCCUUGUUUUGCUAUCAUCACACCAUUCGGUACACUCUUCCAUCCACAUAUCAUUCCCUCUUUAAGAGAACCCUCCUGUCAUCCCAUUGGUCAGAAUCUUGCCACACCCACUCUUCAUCCAGACAGUUUGUGUCCGGGCCUGAGGUUCGAGCGAGUCGUUCAGAGGCCCAAGGUUGCAGGUCCUGAUGGAGAAAGAGGGAGUGGGAGGGAGACAAAACUUGCGAGAGGACGAGGGAAAGCCCGUAAUGCUGUAAUGCCCAUUAACUUGGUCUUUUUGUGCACGCUACCCAGAAUUCCUUGUGACAUUUGUUGUGUGAAGAUUACUCACUGGCCCGUAGCCUAGUGUAGCACAACAGCGAUGGUUUUAAAGACACAGAGUUGGCGCUGUCCCAGCCUCGACACCUCACCCACAAACUGCGCCUCCUGUCAACCCCCACAGGCACCUAUUGUGGCGAAUCAGUGACCGUACCAUUCCUUCUUUCUGCUCUUCACCAACAAAUGAUAAACUAAGUGGAAAAAAAAACAGAAUGGCAUGAAGAAGAAAAGAAGAUCCAGAGCAUGUUGCCUUUCAGCUGAAGUCGUUGAGGACAAUGCAAGUGCUGGACCAUCAUUUUCAAAUGCACUGAAAAGCAGAGUACUGACAAGUUUCAUCAAACAAACAUUUCAUUAUUAUAUUUCUUACAACACAAUGCUUCAAUGAAAAUUAAUGCAAUGUUUAAAUAGAAAAGCAACAUAAUAAUAACUAUUCAAUGCUGCCUUUACAUGCUUUUUGAUUAAGUAUGUCAUGUUAAAGUGUUUUGAUCAGUCCUGCUGAUAGUUGCCACAUGUAUCAUUUGGUUCCAAAAAGCACCUGUCUCUAUCAGCAGAUGAAAAAUAUCGGUGAAUUCUGACUGAAUCUGACUUUUAAUUAUAUUGAUUAUAAUUGUUUUAAAUGUAUUAAAAUACUGUAUAUAUUGCUAAUGUAGUAUAAUACUGUAGAUAUUUUACCAGCAUUUUUCCUUAACAUUAAAUAUAUUUUCUAUUUUUAAUGUAUGAUAAAAUAUUGUUUAUCCUUGACAAAGGCCAACAGUUAUAAAACAGAGCAAAUAUAAUGUAAAAAUACAUGAAUGAUUUGAAUGGUUUAGUCUACUUUAGACAAAUAAAUAAAUAAUAAAAAUAACCUGCAAAAUGAAAUGACUUGGACUGUUAAUCAGUCAUUAACUUGUGUUUAAGGAUAUGGAAAUAAAAGAGAUUUUUAGUGAAUUUUUUUUAUAUAUUUUUUUUUUCAGCCACUCUUGCCAUACAGAAUAGAGAAAGAAGCAGUCAAAUGAGUUUAUCGUUCCUCAUCUGGUCUAAAUCUGUUGUAAACCUGUGGCUGGCUUGGGUGGUCUUGAUCGUUUACAGUAAAGUGAGGUUAUUUUGUGUGUGUGUGUGUGUGUGUGUGUGUGUGUUUGCUGAAUAAAUGACCAAGCACAGCUGUUUUAGCACUUAGCUAAUUUUGUUCCGGACUGUGAGUGUGUUUGCAUGGAUGUGUAUGUGGUUGUGCGUUUGUUAACUUUUGACCUUCUCACACUGAUAUCUUACGUCUGUCUCACACAUACAUGCAUUUUAAGGCCUUGAAUGCAAAGGUCAUCAACACUGAACAAUCCUAAUAAUCAGAAGCAGCUCUUUAAAGCAACAAAUAAGGAAAAUAAGCAUUUGAUUGUAGUGUGAACUUGUUAAUGUUUGGCAAGGGCACGACCUGGCAGCGAGGACUGCAGGGAUACUGUCUAUCUGCUGUCUCUGUGUUAAAAAGACUAUGUAUGUGUGUGUCUCUCCAAGACCAAGUGAGAGACACAGAUGGGUAAAAAGCAUGUUUGUGUUGGGUAGUUACUUCAGGUAAAAGUGAAACACUUGAUGGGGAAAAUUGUGAUCACACAUCUACUGGGUGAGUGACAGACAAUAGCUGCUGUAAAAUUCUCUCACAUCUCGCCUGCUCUGUAUUCAUGGCUCCUGUCUACUCUGUGACCCUCUCUCUCUUUUUCCACAUCCUCUCAACUCUCUCAAUCUCUUUCAACCUCUUCAACGCUUCCCUUUCUUUCUGGAAUAUUUGCUGUAUUUUUUCCCCCUCUGUCUAAACUCUCUGAUCAGGUGGGUUUGAGAGAAAACCUCACCUGACAACACACUCCCUUCCCCUCUUUAUCCAACCUAACAUUUCAAAUGUCGUUUUCACCCUGUUGGAGUACUCAUUCUUAGUCAGUCUAGCGUAAUAAAAACAGUAUGAUCUUUAAUCUCAAAGAUCUUUGGAAAAUGUAAGCAUUUGGUGUAGUAAACAGUAAGUCAUAUCAGCACUUUAUUCAUAUCACUGCUCAAUUUAGAAAAGACAGUUCAUUGAUAACAUUUUUUUUUUUUUUCGUCCAAAUCUGUCUGAGUUGACAGUGUUUCGGUAUGUAAAUCGAUAUGUGCACUAAAAACAUUGUGUGAAAACUGCAAGCAGGUGUUGUUUGUCACUGUUGGUUUGGUUCUGGCAGAUUUAGGCUCUUAUCUUCCUGAAUCUGUGUCAUCUAAUUUCUGUGGGAAUUGUUUUGACAAAACAGGUUAGCAUAAGGUGGGAGAUGUCAGACAAAACAAAGACUCUUUCAAUUUGUGUGCGUACGUGUGUGCAUUUGUGUGUUUGUGUGUCUGUCUCUCAAUGGGAAACAUGUGUCAGUCAUCCGCAAGGUGUUACACUGGAUAUGACAUCAUGGCCCUCUAGGGCUUGUGCUGGGAAGACGAGUUGUUUGAUUCCGUGUAAAAGAACAGAGUCUGGAGCUAACUGUGAAGAUCUGCUUCUAUCUCAGCUGUUGUAAAUGUCUUGCUAACACAAAUACAGCUCACAGGUGCAUGUCAAAACAAAUGUACAGUCUUUUUGUUCCUGUUUAUGGGUCUUGAAUAAAGGUGCACGAGCUCGGCAGAAUCUAAUGGGUAAUGUGUUUUUUUGUAGGCUGUGUGAUUUUGCAGAUAAUUACAAUUUAGUGUGUUUACUUAAUACACUAUUUUCUGGAAUACCCGAUUCUGAUUGGUCAGCUGUGCCAUUCAGUGCUCUAAUGUGUUCAUCUUCGUCCAUGGCAACACUUUCUGCAGACUUUCUUUCUGUUGUUACACUAAAAAAGGGAAACAAUCUGAUGCUUUCAGAUGUUUAAGUUCUCAUAACUAUUGCUUUAACAAUCCAAUUGAUGUAACACUACUUUGUUUUGUCAGUUUAAAUUUGUUCAUU